AUUGAACGCUGGCGGCAUGCCUUACACAUGCAAGUCGAACGGCAGCACGGGGCAACCUGGUGGCGAGUGGCGAACGGGUGAGUAAUGCAUCGGAACGUACCUUUCAGUGGGGGAUAACGUAGCGAAAGUUACGCUAAUACCGCAUAUUCUGUGAGCAGGAAAGUAGGGGAUCGCAAGACCUUGCGCUGAUUGAGCGGCCGAUGUCAGAUUAGCUAGUUGGUGAGGUAAAGGCUCAUCAAGGCGACGAUCUGUAGCGGGUCUGAGAGGAUGAUCCGCCACACUGGAACUGAGCCACGGUCCAGACUCCUACGGGAGGCAGCAGUGGGGAAUUUUGGACAAUGGGGGCAACCCUGAUCCAGCCAUGCCGCGUGAGUGAAGAAGGCCUUCGGGUUGUAAAGCUCUUUCGGCCGGGAAGAAAUCGCACGGGCUAAUACCCUGUGUGGAUGACGGUACCGGAAUAAGAAGCACCGGCUAACUACGUGCCAGCAGCCGCGGUAAAAC
rnacentral:rRNA from 1 species